AGGGUUUGAUUCUGGCUCAGGAUGAACGCUGGCGGCGUGCCUAAUACAUGCAAGUCGAACGAGUUCUCGUUGAUGAUCGGUGCUUGCACCGAGAUUCAACAUGGAACGAGUGGCGGACGGGUGAGUAACACGUGGGUAACCUGCCCUUAAGUGGGGGAUAACAUUUGGAAACAGAUGCUAAUACCGCAUAGAUCCAAGAACCGCAUGGUUCUUGGCUGAAAGAUGGCGUAAGCUAUCGCUUUUGGAUGGACCCGCGGCGUAUUAGCUAGUUGGUGAGGUAAUGGCUCACCAAGGCGAUGAUACGUAGCCGAACUGAGAGGUUGAUCGGCCACAUUGGGACUGAGACACGGCCCAA
rnacentral:rRNA from 1 species